AUGCGCACCCCGGAUUCAUUCGACUCGCCCAUGUCUUUCCUCUUGUCAUUACUGAUUAUCAUGUCCGUAUUUCCCGGAGCCUGUGGUAAUGAUUCAAUGUCCCAAUAUCCCCCUGAACUUUUGGUUGAAGAAGGACAAACUGUAAAACUUAAUUGUAGUUACCCUGCAGCAUUCGCUGCUGAAACUGCCUUCUGGUAUAUCCAGUAUCCUGGAUUAGCGCCAUCAAAUAUACUGAGGAUAUUAAGCAAUGGAUUCGAAGAAAGUUCUCCUGAUUUGUCUGACAAGUUUUCUGCCGAUUAUCAUAAAGCAAAUCGGACGGUUCCUUUAACUAUUUCCAGUGUCCUUGUUUCCGACUCUGCCGUGUAUCUCUGCGCCAUGAACCUCACCUUGCGCCAAAGAAGCAGCAGGUUUGAACAAAAACCAAACAUGAAAGUUUCUCUGAGCGCCCACUAG